GACGAACGCUGGCGGCGUGCUUAACACAUGCAAGUCGAACGGAAAGGCCCUGCUUUUGUGGGGUGCUCGAGUGGCGAACGGGUGAGUAACACGUGAGUAACCUGCCCUUGACUUUGGGAUAACUUCAGGAAACUGGGGCUAAUACCGGAUAGGAGCUCCUGCUGCAUGGUGGGGGUUGGAAAGUUUCGGCGGUUGGGGAUGGACUCGCGGCUUAUCAGCUUGUUGGUGGGGUAGUGGCUUACCAAGGCUUUGACGGGUAGCCGGCCUGAGAGGGUGACCGGCCACAUGGGGACGGAGAUACGGCCCGGACUCCUACGGGGGGCAACAGUGGGGAAUAUUGCACAAGGGGCGGAGGCCUGAUGCAGCAACGCCGCGUGCGGGAUGACGGCCUUCGGGUGGUAAACCGCUUUCGCCUGUGACGAGGCGUGAGUGACGGUAAUGGGUAAAGAAGCACCGGCUAACUACGU
rnacentral:rRNA from 1 species